CAGACGCCACAUCCGCUUUAUCGACCCAACAAGGACCUAGUAAUCUGCAGGGACCCAAUUUGUGCGUCCCUGCAUUCAGGCGACUACAGAUGUGACUACCCAGAGCAAUGUGACUACGAGGUCCAGAAGGUUCUAAAAUUCCACCAAUGGAAAAGUCUCAAAAUGCUUUAACUGUUGGUCCAUCAUUACGACUUCAAGGAUUGUUAGUACCCUUCUUCUCUUUCAAACGACCAUCCCUUGGUCAAGAGAAUCAAAAACGAUGUUGGUCUACAUGGAAAAGGCACUGCUAUUGUCUCUGUUUCUGGAUCAUCAGACAGGAAUUUGUCUACCUCAGCCAUUAUGAAAAGAAUUCCAAGCAAGUGGCCACGUCCUGUGUGGCAUCCUCCAUGGAAGAACUACAGGGUCAUAAGUGGGCAUUUGGGAUGGGUGAGAUCUAUCGCAUUUGAUCCUAGCAAUCAAUGAUUCUGCACUGGCUCUGCAGAUCAGACAAUUAAGGUCAAAGUUCUCAACAAACUUGCUUCAGCUCGAGCUUCAGGAGCAGGUAGCGGCAGCAGAGUCUUGACAGAUUUGGUAGAGGGUCUAGAAGAAGCAGCUGUUGCUGUAGAAUUGAGGUUGAAGUCAUCCGGACUUAA